AUACGGAGGGUGCAAGCGUUAUUCGGAAUCACUGGGCGUAAAGGACGCGUAGGCGGGUUGGCAAGUCAGAUGUGAAAUCCUACAGCUUAACUGUAGAACUGCAUUUGAAACUGCUAACCUAGAGUAUGGGAGGGGGAGAUAGAAUUAGUGGUGUAGGGGUAAAAUCCGUAGAUAUCACUAGGAAUACCGAAAGCGAAGGCGAUCUCCUGGAACAUAACUGACGCUAAGGCGUGAAAGCGUGGGGAGCAAACAGGAUUAGAUACCCCAGUAGUCC
rnacentral:rRNA from 1 species